rnacentral:rRNA from 1 species
GUAGGGAAUAUUGGGCAAUGGUCGGAAGACUGACCCAGCCAUGCCGCGUGCAGGAAGACGGCCCUCUGGGUUGUAAACUGCUUUUAUCUGGGAAGAAAAAGGCCAUGCGUGGCAAAUUGCCGGUACCAGAUGAAUAAGCACCGGCUAACUCCGUGCCAGCAGCCGCGGUAAUACGGAGGGUGCGAGCGUUGUCCGGAUUUAUUGGGUGUAAAGGGUGCGUAGGCGGCUGAUUAAGUCAGCGGUGAAAGACUUCGGCUUAACCGGAGCAGUGCCGUUGAUACUGGUUGGCUUGAGUGUCGGAGGGGUACAUGGAAUUGAUGGUGUAGCGGUGAAAUGCAUAGAUACCAUCAGGAACACCGAUAGCGAAGGCAUUGUACUGGCCGACAACUGACGCUGAUGCACGAAAGUGUGGGGAUCGAACAGGAUUAGAUACCCCAGUAGUCC